rnacentral:rRNA from 1 species
CCCGAGACAAGUUAUUCUUUCAUAAGAUGAAGGUCGGCAGCAGAAGACUGCGUUGAUAGGAAGGUGGUGUAGAUCACAAGCUUCGGCGAGUGGUGAGCCAGCCUUUACUAAUAGACCAACACAUCGGUUCA